rnacentral:rRNA from 1 species
UUAGAGUUUGAUCAUGGCUCAGAUUGAACGCUGGCGGCAUGCCUUACACAUGCAAGUCGAACGCGAAAGGGGGGCAACCCCUGAGUAGAGUGGCGAACGGGUGAGUAAUACAUCGGAACGUGUCCAGUAGCGGGGGAUAACCUCUCGAAAGAGAGGCUAAUACCGCAUACGUCCUACGGGAGAAAGAGGGGGAUCGCAAGACCUCUCACUAUUGGAGCGGCCGAUGUCGGAUUAGCUAGUUGGCGGGGUAACGGCCCACCAAGGCGACGAUCCGUAGCUGGUCUGAGAGGACGACCAGCCACACUGGAACUGAGACACGGUCCAGACUCCUACGGGAGGCAGCAGUGGGGAAUUUUGGACAAUGGGCGCAAGCCUGAUCCAGCCAUGCCGCGUGAGUGAAGAAGGCCUUCGGGUUGUAAAGCUCUUUCGGCGGGGACGAAAAGGUCCGUGCUAACACCACGGAUCCAUGACGGUACCCGCAGAAGAAGCACCGGCUAACUACGUGCCAGCAGCCGCGGUAAUACGUAGGGUGCAGGCGUUAAUCGGAAUUACUGGGCGUAAAGCGUGCGCAGGCGGUUUGCUAAGACAGGUGUGAAAUCCCCGGGCUUAACCUGGGAACUGCGCUUGUAACUGGCAAGCUUGAGUGUGGCAGAGGGGGGUGGAAUUCCACGUGUAGCAGUGAAAUGCGUAGAGAUGUGGAGGAACACCGAUGGCGAAGGCAGCCCCCUGGGCUAACACUGACGCUCAUGCACGAAAGCGUGGGGAGCAAACAGGAUUAGAUACCCUGGUAGUCCACGCCCUAAACUAUGUCAACUGGUUGUCGGGGAAGCAAUUCCUUGGUAACGAAGCUAACGCGUGAAGUUGACCGCCUGGGGAGUACGGCCGCAAGGUUAAAACUCAAAGGAAUUGACGGGGACCCGCACAAGCGGUGGAUUAUGUGGAUUAAUUCGAUGCAACGCGAAAAACCUUACCUACCCUUGACAUGCCAGGAACCCUCCAGAGAUGGAGGGGUGCCCGAAAGGGAACCUGGACACAGGUGCUGCAUGGCUGUCGUCAGCCUCGUGUCGUGAGAUGUUUGGGUUAAGUCCCGCAACGAGCGCAACCCUUGCCAUUAGUUGCCACAUUCAGUUGGGCACUCUAAUGGGACUGCCGGUGACAAACCGGAGGAAGGUGGGGAUGACGUCAAGUCCUCAUGGCCCUUAUGGGUAGGGCUUCACACGUAAUACAAUGGCCGGUACAGAGGGCAGCCAACUCGCGAGAGGGAGCUAAUCCCAGAAAGCCGGUCGUAGUCCGGAUUGCAGUCUGCAACUCGACUGCAUGAAGCCGGAAUCGCUAGUAAUCGCGGAUCAGCAUGUCGCGGUGAAUACGUUCCCGGGUCUUGUACACACCGCCCGUCACACCAUGGGAGUGGGUUUCACCAGAAGUAGUUAGCCUAACCGCAAGGAGGGCGACUACCACGGUGAGAUUCAUGACUGGGGUGAAGUCGUAACAAGGUAGCCG